rnacentral:rRNA from 1 species
CAGAGGGGGCAAGCGUUAUUCGGAAUUAUUGGGCGUAAAGGGCGCGUAGGCGGCUUUUCAAGUGACGGGUGAAAUCCCUCGGCUUAACCGAGGAACUGCCUGUCAGACUGGAAGGCUUGAGACCGGGAGAGGUGAGUGGAAUUCCCAGUGUAGCGGUGAAAUGCGUAGAUAUUGGGAGGAACACCAGUGGCGAAGGCGGCUCACUGGACCGGAACUGACGCUGAGGCGCGAAAGCGUGGGGAGCAAACAGGAUUAGAUACCCUGGUAGUCCACGCCGUAAACGAUGAGUGCUUGGUGUAGCGGGUAUCGACCCCUGCUGUGCCGAAGUCAACACAUUAAGCACUCCGCCUGGGGAGUACGGUCGCAAGACUG